UCUGGGGAGGUGCUUGAAGCCUUGUGGUU
rnacentral:piRNA from 1 species